UACGUAGGGCGCAAGCGUUGUCCGGAAUUAUUGGGCGUAAAGAGCUCGUAGGCGGCUUGUCGCGUCGGCUGUGAAAGCCCGGGGCUUAACCCCGGGUCUGCAUUCGAUACGGGCAGGCUAGAGUUCGGUAGGGGAGAUCGGAAUUCCUGGUGUAGCGGUGAAAUGCGCAGAUAUCGGGAGGAACACCGGUGGCGAAGGCGGCGAUCUGGGUAGAUACUGACGCUGAGGUGCGAAAGCGUGGGGAGCAAACAGG
rnacentral:rRNA from 1 species